CGGCGGCGGUGGCGGCUUCAACAGCAGCUCUUGCCCUUAAGGAACAAUGAAACACAAAGAUGGUGCAGACCCAGGCCCUGCUUUGACUGGGAGAAAGAUGCAUUCAGUUGACUAAAACUUGAAAACUGUCCAUUUGGCUAUGAGCGAAUCAUCCUGCUUGCUUUUAUAAGCAUUUAUCCUGAAAAGAAAUUUAAAGCAGACAUCCCAUAAAUGGAGUCUGGGACAGAAACCUACACAUUGGGGCUUGGUGGCAUGCAUGUUUAGUCCCAGCUACACAGCAGGGAGGCUGAGGCUGAAGGAAUACUUGAGCCCAGGAAUUCAAGACUAGCCUGCACAACAUAGUGAGACCCUGACUUUAAAAUAAAUUUAAAAAAAUUAAAAGCAACAAGACUUUCUGCUUGUAUAUGAUGAUGUUAGUAUGCUGACUUACAAGGUUAGAUCAUUUUGAUAUGUGUGAUGUAGGUUUUCAAAGCUGGCACUGUUUUAUGCUUCAAAUAUUAUUUUUAUUCAUUGGUUCUCAUGGGAUUUCAUCACUAAGCUGUAAAUCAAUAAUCAUAAUGUUGAGGGGAGGGGAUUACAAAAUAGCUCUUCAAAAUCAUCUUUGCAUUUCUCAAUAAACAGCAUUCCCUUUUGGACUACAGUGAAAAAUAUUGAGCUUUGUUUACUUUGAAAAUGAGUCUUAGUCUAUGAAUGCCUGGGUAGGGUCAAGAAUGAAAAAUGAGAGGAAGAGAGAAGCAUCAGGAAGAUAAAAUGAUCAAUCUCACAAAACUUGCUAUUUUUAGAAAGCAUCAUUCUAAUUUUGAAACCAAAAAAAUGGGGAAAAACAGAGUAAUGGAAUAAUAGAAUGCCUCAUGUACAAAAGCAACAAUUUCAGAGAUGAUCUAAAACAACUUAUUAGUUAUAGGAAGAAAUAUACCUGAAAAGGGCAAAAAUAAGUUGGGUUUGGCCUCUUGUCACUGAAAUUAUCUACUAAAUCUAACAGCAUCUAUGUUCCUUUAGCUGUUGUGUAUAUUGUACACAAAUGUGA
rnacentral:lncRNA from 10 species